GGUGGUUCAAUGGUAGAGUGCUUGCCUGGCAAGCAUUAGGCCCUGGGUUCAAUUCCUAAGUACCA
rnacentral:tRNA from 1 species